CUACGUGCCAGCAGCCGCGGUCAUACGUAGGAUCCGAGCGUUAUCCGGAGUGACUGGGCGUAAAGAGUUGCGUAGGCGGUUGUAUAAGUGAAUAGUGAAAUCUGGUGGCUCAACCAUACAGGCUAUUGUUCAAACUGUACAACUUGAGAGUGGUAGAGGUCACUGGAAUUUCUUGUGUAGGAGUGAAAUCCGUAGAUAUAAGAAGGAACACCAAUGGCGUAGGCAGGUGACUGGACCAUUUCUGACGCUAAGGCACGAAAGCGUGGGGAGCGAACCGGAUUAGAUACCCUGGUAGUCCACGCCGUAAACGAUGAGUGCUAGGUGUUAGACCCUUUCCGGGGUUUAGUGCCGCAGCUAACGCAUUAAGCACUCCGCCUGGGGAGUACGACCGCAAGGUUGAAACUCAAAGGAAUUGACGGGGGCCCGCACAAGCGGUGGAGCAUGUGGUUUAAUUCGAAGCAACGCGAAGAACCUUACCAGGUCUUGACAUCCCUCUGACAGCUCUAGAGAUAGAGUUUUC
rnacentral:rRNA from 1 species